UACGUAGGGUGCAGGCGUUAAUCGGAAUUACUGGGCGUAAAGCGUGCGCAGGCGGUUUGCUAAGACAGGUGUGAAAUCCCCGGGCUUAACCUGGGAACUGCGCUUGUAACUGGCAAGCUGGAGUGUGGCAGAGGGGGGUGGAAUUCCACGUGUAGCAGUGAAAUGCGUAGAGAUGUGGAGGAACACCGAUGGCGAAGGCAGCCCCCUGGGCUAACACUGACGCUCAUGCACGAAAGCAUGGGGAGCAAACAGG
rnacentral:rRNA from 1 species